rnacentral:sRNA from 1 species
CUUGGUCAUUUAGAGGAAGUAAAAGUCGUAACAAGGUUUCCGUAGGUGAACCGCGGAAGGAUCACUAAAGAAUUCGCCCUUCGGGGCUCUCUUUAUUCACACACCCCUGUGCACUUUGGCCACCUCUUUGUUGAGGUGUGUCUUUUUAAUUACCAUACCCUAUAAACACAAGUUAUUGAAUGUAAAAUCGUUAUAAACUAAUAUAACUUUCAACAACGGAUCUCUUGGUUCUCGCAUCGAUGAAGAACGCAGCGAAUUGCGAUAAGUAAUGUGAAUUGCAGAAUUCAGUGAAUCAUCGAAUCUUUGAACGCAUCUUGCGCUCUUUGGUAUUCCGAAGAGCAUGCCUGUUUGAGUGUCAUGAAACUCUCACCUCCAAUCUUUUUUAACUAGAAGGUUGGGGCGUGGACGUGAGUGCUGCUGGUGCCCUGGUUGCAUCGGCUCACUUGAAAUUCAUUAGCUGAAUCCUUUAAAGUAGGUUCUACUCGACGUGAUAAGAUCUCCGUCGAGGACAGUGCUUCGGCAUUGGCCAACGAUAAAGUUGAUACGCUUCUAAUUAGCGCAGACUUCGAGUGCUGGCAAUUUUGACAACUUGGCCUCAAAUCAGGUAGGACUACCCACUGAACUUAAGCAUAUCAAUAAGUGGAGGAAAAGAAACUAACAAGGAUUCCCCUAGUAACGGCGAGUGAAGCGGGAAGAGCUCAAAUUUAAAAUCUGGCAGUCUACGAUUGUCCGAAUUGUAAUCUCGAGAAGUGUUUUCCGCGUUGGCCUGUGCACAAGUCCCUUGGAACAGGGCGUCAUAGAGGGUGAGAAUCCCGUCCUUGGCACAGAUACCCAAUGCUUUGUGAUACACUCUCAAUGAGUCGAGUUGUUUGGGAAU